UUUCCGUAGGUGAACCUGCGGAAGGAUCAUUAUUGAAUGCAACACCCUUGGCUUUCAACUGUUCAGCUGGCUCUUCGGGCACCGUUCACAUCGCCCUGGCCACUUGUUCCUCCUGUCCCACCUGUGCACUGCCUGUAGCCACGCUGCGUCCAUGCUCUUUGUUAACACCCAACACUGCUUGUUGGCUUGUUAUAUAUAAAAAUAAAAUAUACAUCUAUCUACAAAGGAUCUCUUGCCUGUCUCAUCGAUGAAGAAAGAAGCCAACCGGACGAGAAAAUA
rnacentral:misc_RNA from 1 species